rnacentral:tRNA from 1 species
AAUAAAGUGCCUGAUAAAAGGAUUAUUCUGAUAGAGUAAAUUAUAUAAAUUAAAUUAUCUUUAUUA